CUCAAAGAAGGCCAGGAAGGCCAACCGCACCUGCUGCCUCAGGAGAUGGAGGAGGAGGAGUCUGAAGACGAUGAGCAGGCCAUGAAGCAGGGUCUGACAAUGAUUGUCGAAGACAUCCUGCAGGGGACGGGGGAGGAUGCAGACGAGGACGCCAGUGAAGAAGAGGAUGCACCAACCCCCAUCCCAACAACCUCCAGCAUAUACAAGGUGCUGGGUCCCAUCUUUGGAG